rnacentral:rRNA from 1 species
CGGAACAACUGAGGGAAACUUCAGCUAAAACCGGAUACGCCCUGAGGGGGAAAGUUUACGCCGAAAGAUCGGCCCGCGUCAGAUUAGGUAGUUGGUGGGGUAAAGGCCUACCAAGCCGAUGAUCUGUAGGUGGUCUGAGAGGAUGAUCACCCACACUGGGACUGAGACACGGCCCAGACUCCUACGGGAGGCAGCAGUGGGGAAUAUUGGACAAUGGGCGCAAGCCUGAUCCAGCCAUGCCGCGUGGAUGAAGAAGGCCCUAGGGUUGUAAAGUCCUUUCGACGGAGACGAUAAUGACGGUAUCCGUAGAAGAAGCCCCGGCUAAUUUCGUGCCAGCAGCCGCGGUAAUACGAAAGGGGCUAGCGUUGUCCGGAUUUACUGGGCGUAAAGCGCGCGUAGGCGGUCGUGUUAAGUGAGUGGUGAAAUCUCCAGAGCUCAACUCGGAAAUUGCUUCUCAUGACUGGCAGACUAGAGGAAUGCAGAGGUAAGUGGAAUUCCUGGUGUAGAGGUGACAUGCAUUGAUAUCAGGAGGAACACCCAUGGCGAAGGCAGCUUACUGGGCAUUAUCUGACGCUGAGGCGCGAAAGCGUGGGGAGCAAACAGAAUUAGAUACUCUGGUAGUCCACGCCCUAAACGAUGGAUACUAGGCGUAAGAGGUAUCGACCCCUCUUGUGCCGCAGCUAACGCACUAAGUAUCCCGCCUGGGGACUACGGCCGCAAGGUUGAAACUCAAAUGAAUUGACGGGACCCCGCACAAGCGGUGGAGCAUGUGGAUUAAUUCGAUACUAACCGAAGAACCUUACCCAGG